GACGAACGCUGGCGGCGUGCUUAACACAUGCAAGUCGAACGGAGUGGCGAACGGGCGAGUAACACGUGGGUGACCUGCCCUCCACUUCGGGAUAAGCCUGGGAAACUGGGUCUAAUACCGGAUAGUGUGGGAUGGGCCUGCGGCCUAUCAGCUUGUGGGUGGGGGAAUGGCCUACCAAGGCGGCGACGGGUAGCCGGCCUGAGAGGGUGGACGGCCACAUUGGGACGGAGACACGGGCCAGACGCCUACGGGAGGCAGCGGUGGGGAAUAUUGCACAAUGGGCGGAAGCCUGAUGCAGCGACGUCGCGUGGGGGAUGACGGCCUUCGGGGUGUAAUCGCCUUUCACCAUCGACGCGGUAGAUGGAGAGGAAGCACCGGCUAACUACGUGCCAGCAGCCGCGGUAAUAC
rnacentral:rRNA from 1 species